GGGUUGUGAGGUUAAGCGACUAAGCGUACACGGUGGAUGCCCUGGCAGUCAGAGGCGAUGAAGGACGUGCUAAUCUGCGAUAAGCGUCGGUAAGGUGAUAUGAACCGUUAUAACCGGCGAUUUCCGAAUGGGGAAACCCAGUGUGAUUCGUCACACUAUCAUUAACUGAAUCCAUAGGUUAAUGAGGCGAACCGGGGGAACUGAAACAUCUAAGUACCCCGAGGAAAAGAAAUCAACCGAGAUUCCCCCAGUAGCGGCGAGCGAACGGGGAGCAGCCCAGAGCCUAAAUCAGUAUGUGUGUUAGUGGAAGCGUCUGGAAAGGCGCGCGAUACAGGGUGACAGCCCCGUACACAAAAAUGCACAUAUUGUGAGCUCGAUGAGUAGGGCGGGACACGUGGUAUCCUGUCUGAAUAUGGGGGGACCAUCCUCCAAGGCUAAAUACUCCUGACUGACCGAUAGUGAACCAGUACCGUGAGGGAAAGGCGAAAAGAAC
rnacentral:rRNA from 1 species